UCCAGGGUAGCCUAGUGGACAUGGCAUCUGGCCGGUAAGCGGAACGUUGUGGGUUCGAUUCCCAUCCUUGAAC
rnacentral:tRNA from 1 species